rnacentral:rRNA from 1 species
GUGCCAGCAGCCGCGGUAAUACCGGCAGCACGAGUGAUGGCCGAUAUUAUUGGGCCUAAAGCGUCCGUAGCCGGCCGGACAAGUCCGUUGGGAAAUCUGCUCGCUUAACGAGCAGGCGUCCAGCGGAAACUGUCCGGCUUGGGGCCGGAAGAUUCGAGGGGUACGUCCGGGGUAGGAGUGAAAUCCUGUAAUCCUGGACGGACCGCCGGUGGCGAAAGCGCCUCGAGAGGACGGACCCGACGGUGAGGGACGAAAGCUAGGGUCUCGAACCGGAUUAGAAACCCCGGUAGUCC